GCACGGGGUGCGAGGUCGGCAGGCCGCGGGGCUGUGGGGAGGGCCUCCCCGUGCGCGGGGGUCGGGAGGUUUCCCCUUAGAGAUCCGCACUGAAGCUGUCACGGAGCGGAAGCAUCUCCGCUGGAAGAGGGAGAUCCCCUCUCGCGGACUGCCUCCGGGCUCUCGUAUUUACGGAGAUUCCAGCGAGCACUCCACCCUGUUCCUUCUCGGUGCGAGAUCUGACACGGAGCCUCGCACGGCGGUCACGUGGGCGACUGCCGCAUCUCAGCUGUGGAGCUGGGACUGGAGAACGGCACCGCGGCUCUCCCCGCCGCCCCGGCCUCGCUCUCGGCCGUGUGUUUCACCGGUCACGCGAACAACCGAAAACAGAAGCAAGAUAUCAGCAUGUUCAAUGGCUGCAUUCUCCUGAGUGGAGGAAAAGUACCUGGGAAGGCAGUGAGAGGAGAGAUGAGGAGCUGCCUGCCGCAGAGAGAACAGCUGGCUGGAAGAGAACAUAUCAGGACAACUGCCAGCAUACUGAGCGAGAGGUGUUGGGAGUGUUUGUUGUUCACACUCACCAACCUGAUGUGAUUUAUUGUGCUUUUAUUUCAUCUCCCUUCAAAGAUGUUAUGUCUGUUUAAAUACAGUUUUCACUCUGUUGUUCACUACUGGAGAUGCUUCACUCAAGGAGGCCCAGGUAAUAACAAUGCAGCUUCUCCCUGGAAGCCCAAAAUAAUGUUUAAAUGACUUUCUGCAAAGACUGUAAAAAUUGAACACGACCUCUGCUUUGUUAGUCAGUUUGUGGCAGAACAGCAGGAAAGCCUGUCUGAACUUGAGUCCUAUUGCUGUGUUUAGACAGCAGUUUUUUCACAGUAAAGACAUGGCCUUGGAGUCCAUCGUCCCAGAAUAGAAGAGCGUGUCCAAAACACUUCUAAGGUAUUAUUUGUUCAUUAGUCUCUGAUCAUAUUCUAAGGAAGACAAAGCAGUACAUCCUUUUCAAUACAAGGGAAAUAUUUCCUAUUUCCUAAAUUUGGGGGGUAUAAAUUGAUUUUACUUCAGCCAAAUGGGGAGUCCAUCACACUGCAGGGGCCAGCAGAGCAUGGUGGGGUUGUUAAAAACAUAUGUAAGUCUAUGCUAAAUUCACUGAAUUUUACUAGUUUCAACACUGUACUUCAACACAUUCAAAAUGAAACCUUAUUUUUUUUCACAUCAAAAAACCCUUUCCUUUCAAGUCUUACCUGCACUUAUUUUAGUGAAAAUCAGCUUAUCUCCCCAAAAUAAAACAUGUCUUUUGCUAUUGUGUCCA
rnacentral:lncRNA from 1 species